AGUAGGUACUUACUUAUUAAAUCCAUGGUCGUGUCAAGGUCAAGUGUCCUUUAUUGUCUUCUAAAGACAAGAAGAUUGCACUUUCUGUAAAAAAUAAAACGUCAUUUUAAAAUAUGUUGUGUACGAGAAAUUAUUUAUUGAUCAAGCCCAAACCACAAUUUUGAAUUUACAUGUUUAUAAAGACCAGGAUGAUGACUAUAUAUUAUUAUGACAUGAUUGUGUUUCCACUUUAUGCUUACUACUAAAAGUUCAACCUUACUUCCCACUUUACCCAAUACCAAGACAAGUCAGCCUAUUCUGGUUCGCAGUAGAAGUAAGCCCCUAGAGUGCCUAAACUGGUUGUCUAAGAAGUGUCUUCGUUGUUGUGCUUGUCUGUGCUGCGUAGCCGUUUGUGCAUAUAUCGGACAUUUGUGCGGAUGUGAAGAGGCAUGUUGCCAAGAUCCAGAAAAUAUUGAACCCGAAAUGCAAUUGUAACAAGUGCGUGGAAUGGUGAUAGUUUUGAGUGCUACAUAUAAAUACGUCCUUGUCCGGGAUUGACAUAAAGACACUGUAUUACAAGCAAGAAUUGAGCUUGUCUACACAGCUGCUACGCCUGACAUUUAUAAAGAUGUGUUGCUGUUGUUGCCCUAUGUGUAUACGAUGCUUAAAAAUUAUUUGUUGUAUAUAUCUAUGUGCUUGGUGUUGCGAAAUGUUUGGGUGUUGUGAAGGGCUUUGUGAUGAAUGCGCAUCGUUUGGCGAAGACGACUAGAUAGUAAAUCUAGUUACUUGCUUUCAAUAUAAGUAAACAUGAUUCCAUCGU